ACGAACGCUGGCGGCGUGCUUAACACAUGCAAGUCGAACGGUGAAGCCCUUCGGGGUGGAUCAGUGGCGAACGGGUGAGUAACACGUGAGCAACCUGCCCUUCACUCUGGGAUAACUCCGGGAAACCGGUGCUAAUACCGGAUACGAGCCUCGACCUCAUGGUCUGGGGCUGGAAAGAUUUUUUGGUGGAGGAUGGGCUCGCGGCCUAUCAGCUUGUUGGUGAGGUAAUGGCUCACCAAGGCGACGACGGGUAGCCGGCCUGAGAGGGCGACCGGCCACACUGGGACUGAGACACGGCCCAGACUCCUACGGGAGGCAGCAGUGGGGAAUAUUGCACAAUGGGCGAAAGCCUGAUGCAGCGACGCCGCGUGAGGGAUGACGGCCUUCGGGUUGUAAACCUCUUUCAGCUCCGAAGAAGCGAGAGUGACGGUAGGAGCAGAAGAAGCACCGGCUAACUACGU
rnacentral:rRNA from 1 species